GAUGAAGAACGUAGCGAAAUGCGAUAAGUAAUGUGAAUUGCAGAAUUCAGUGAAUCAUCGAAUCUUUGAACGCACCUUGCGCUACUUGGUAUUCCGAGGAGCAUGCCUGUUUGAGUGUCAUUAAUAUAUCAACCUCUUCAGCUUAUGCUUGUUGAGUGUUGGAUGGUGGGGGUUUGCUGGUGUCUUAUGAAGUCAGCUCCUCUGAAAUGCAUUAGCGGAACAAUUUGUUGACCGUUCAUUGGUGUGAUAAAAAUAUCUACGCUAUUGACGUCAGUCAGUUCAGCUUCUAACAGUCCAUUGACUUGGACAAAUUUUUCAUUAAUGUGACCUCAAAUCAGGUAGGACUACCCGCUGAACUUAAGCAUAUCAAUAAGCGGAGGA
rnacentral:misc_RNA from 1 species